rnacentral:rRNA from 1 species
ACAUGCAAGUCGAGCGGCAGCGGGAAAGUAGCUUGCUACUUUUGCCGGCGAGCGGCGGACGGGUGAGUAAUGCCUGGGAAAUUGCCCAGUCGAGGGGGAUAACAGUUGGAAACGACUGCUAAUACCGCAUACGCCCUACGGGGGAAAGCAGGGGACCUUCGGGCCUUGCGCGAUUGGAUAUGCCCAGGUGGGAUUAGCUAGUUGGUGAGGUAAUGGCUCACCAAGGCGACGAUCCCUAGCUGGUCUGAGAGGAUGAUCAGCCACACUGGAACUGAGACACGGUCCAGACUCCUACGGGAGGCAGCAGUGGGGAAUAUUGCACAAUGGGGGAAACCCUGAUGCACCCAUGCCGCGUGUGUGAAGAAGGCCUUCCGGUUGUAAAGCACUUUCUACCAGGAUGAAAGGUCAGUAACUAAUAUCUCGUUGGCUGGGACUUUACUCUCAUAACAAACACCUGCUAACUCCGUGCCAACCUUCUCGGUAAUUAUGUAAGGUGCUAUCGUUUCCCACUAUUUCUGGGCGUUAUACCCCUCCUCAGCGACAUAGGUAUACUUAUUUGUAUUAUUCCCUUGCCUCUUUACUUCUUAAACUUAUAUUUCUAUUUACUCUCUCUUCACUUUAUAUUUUGGAGCUUUAAUUUACUUUAUUCAUUAUCUCUCUCAUUUCAUGAUUAGAACCUAUCUUAUACUUACAGCAUUUCCCUUCUAUCUUUGAUUUAUUGUAUUCAUCCUAAUCAAUUGGAAUUGCCUCUCCACUUNUCUUUCUACUCAAAUUAUAUGUCUGAUAUACAGNACCUUNCCCUUNUUAUUUUCCCAGAAUUUNUNCUAUCCUAUUUAUUAAGGUGAUUUCCCUUCUUAUUUUAUUGAUUUUCUUCACUCUUCGAUCACCCUAUUUCUCANUCUUCCUAUCACACCAUAUNUCCAUCUCUCUAUUGACCACCUGUCAUCAUCAUUAUNCUUUCUAUCACUCUUAUUCUCCCAUUCUCCNACUUUANAUUUUCACUUCUCCGCUGUC